GUUACAGCUGCAGGGUCGCGCCAGUGGAGGUGCAACGUCUGCUCCAAGAUAUCGGAGCUGAAGGUGGUGACUGGAGAGUGGUUCCUGGAGGAACGGUCCAAACGCUUCGAGCAGAAAACGCUGAGCAGUGACGUCAUCAAACAGUCCAUCCUGAGCAGUCCGCCAACCACAGAAAAAAAGGCUACAGAGAAUAUA